UACUCACCCAGUUCCUGCUGUACGCAACAGUGAAGAUAAACAGUAAGAUGAAAGAACUAAGAGGGAAAAAUGCAAUGUUUUAGAACCCCCCCGAUGAGGCACAAGGUUCUCCUACAUCAGAGGUCACUAACUGGCGGACGGCGGUCCGGGUCCGAACCCAGAAGCUGUCCCAUAAGGACCCGAACCUACAGCCGAGACAGAAGUUUUGAAAAAGACAUUUUACUUUUUCAACCGGAGCUCCAACAUCUGACAACAACCUUAACACCUGUGGCGGCUGAACAAUGUCA